GGUUUAUCGUUGAGGUCAACACGUGAUUUUGAAAGUCACCAUUAGAUGUUCAAUUCAUCUAUAAACCU
rnacentral:tRNA from 1 species